AAGCCUCUGCAGCAGACAGACAAGUGAAACAAAGGCAGAGACACAUAAAGAAGGUAUUAAUGUGCGGAAAUAGUCACAUAGCGACAACAAACGGCUUUAUGGCCGAGUUUGAAACAGAGAAGCGGUGAUAGGAUGACUGAUGGUUCUGCUUCCUUCCCUUCUGAGGCUGAAGACAAAGGUUGUCUUCAGAGCAAAGCAUCAUUUAGAGUUGUUAUAGGAACCCUUUCCUCGUCACUGAAAUACGAUAUAUAUAUGUAUAUAUAUAUAUAUCGUGCUGGGAUGCUGCUGAGGCUAAAAGCCACGAGUCCAAGUACGAGCUCUUCCUCAC